GACGUAGGUGGCAAGCGUUGUUCGGAAUCACUGGGCAUAAAGCGCACGUAGGCGGCCAAGUAAGUCAGGUGUGAAAUACCUCGGCUCAACCGAGGAACUGCGCCUGAUACUGCUUGGCUUGAGGUCCGGAGGGGAGAGUGGAAUUCCCGGUGGAGCGGUGAAAUGCGUAGAGAUCGGGAAGAACGCCGGCGGCGAAAGCGACUACCUGGCCUGUUCUUGACGCUGAGGCGCGAAAGCUAGGGGAGCAAACGGG
rnacentral:rRNA from 1 species